rnacentral:rRNA from 1 species
CCUACGGGAGGCAGCAGUGGGGAAUCUUCCGCAAUGGGCGAAAGCCUGACGGAGCAACGCCGCGUGAUGGAAUGAAGGCCUUCGGGUUGUAAAGAUCUGUUGACAGGGCCGAAUAAGCAAUGCGAAUAGUUUUGUGUAUGUCCGUACCUGUUUAGAAAGCUCCGGCUAACUACGUGCCAGCAGCCGCGGUAAUACGUAGGGAGCAAGCGUUGUCCGGAAUUACUGGGCGUAAAGGGGGCGUAGGUGGGGGCUUCAGUCAGGUGUGAAAACUCCGGGCCCAACCUGGGGACUGCACUUGAAACUGGGUGUCUUGAGGGCAGGAGAGGAAGGUGGAAGUCCUGGUGUAGCGGUGAAAUGCGUAGAUAUUAGGAGGAACACCAGUGGCGAAGGCGACUUUCUGGACUGUACCUGACGCUGAGGCGCGAAAGCGUGGGUAGCGAACGGGAUUAGAUACCCUGGUAGUC